rnacentral:rRNA from 1 species
GACGAACGCUGGCGGCGUGCUUAACACAUGCAAGUCGAACGGAACGGGCGUGCUUUUGUGGGGUGCCCGAGUGGCGAACGGGUGAGUAACACGUGUGUCACCUGCUCUGGACUUUGGGAUAACCUCAGGAAACUGGGGCUAAUACCGGAUAGGAGCUCACGCUGCAUGGUUGGGGAUGGAGAGUUUCGUUGGUUGGGGGUGGACUCGCGGCUUAUGAGCUUGGUGGUGGGUUAGUGGCUUACCAAGGCUUUGACGGGUAGCCGGCCUGAGAGGGUGACCGGCCACAUUGGGACUGAGAAACGGCCCAGACUCCUACGGGAGGAAGCAGUGGGGAAUAUUGCACAAUGGGCGGAAGCCUGAUGCAGCAACGCCGCGUGCGGGAUGACGGCCUUCGGGUUGUAAACCGCUUUCGCCUGUGACGAAGCGUGAGUGACGGUAAUGGGUAAAGAAGCACCGGCUAACUACGUG